rnacentral:tRNA from 1 species
CCCCUGGUAGCUCAGUUGGUAGUAGCGCCUGUCUGUUCGCGAAGCGUGUCCGGUAAGGACAAGAACAGGAGGUCGUCGGUUCGAUUCCGACCUGGGGGG